rnacentral:rRNA from 1 species
AAUGGGUCAGCGACUUAUAUUCUGUAGCAAGGUUAACCGAAUAGGGGAGCCGGAGGGAAACCGAGUCUUAAUUGGGCGUUAAGUUGCAGGGUAUAGACCCGAAACCCGGUGAUCUAGCCAUGGGCAGGUUGAAGGUUGGGUAACACUAACUGGAGGACCGAACCGACUAAUGUUGAAAAAUUAGCGGAUGACCUGUGGCUGGGGGUGAAAGGCCAAUCAAACCGGGAGAUAGCUGGUUCUCCCCGAAAGCUAUUUAGGUAGCGCCUCGUGAAUUCAUCUCCGGGGGUAGAGCACUGUUUCGGCUAGGGGGCCAUCCCGGCUUACCAACCCGAUGCAAACUGCGAAUACCGGAGAAUGUUAUCACGGGAGACACACGGCGGGUGCUAACGUCCGUCGUGAAGAGGGAAACAACCCAGACCGCCAGCUAAGGUCCCAAAGUCAUGGUUAAGUGGGAAACGAUGUGGGAAGGCCCAGACAGCCAGGAUGUUGGCUUAGAAGCAGCCAUCAUUUAAAGAAAGCGUAAUAGCUCACUGGUCGAGUCGGCCUGCGCG